rnacentral:rRNA from 1 species
CGAGAGCCUGACGGAGCAACGCCGCGUGAGGGAGGAAGGCCUGUGGGUUGUAAACCUCUUUUCUCAGGGAAGAAGUUCUGACGGUACCUGAGGAAUCAGCAUCGGCUAACUCCGUGCCAGCAGCCGCGGUAAGACGGAGGAUGCAAGCGUUAUCCGGAAUUAUUGGGCGUAAAGCGUCCGUAGGUGGUUACAAAAGUCUGUUGUUAAAGCCCACAGCUCAACUGUGGAUCGGCAAUGGAAACUGUGUGACUUGAGUGUGGUAGGGGUAGAGGGAAUUCCUAGUGUAGCGGUGAAAUGCGUAGAUAUUAGGAAGAACACCAGUGGCGAAGGCGCUCUACUGGGCCAUAACUGACACUGAUGGACGAAAGCU